rnacentral:RNase_P_RNA from 2 species
GCGGAUGGCUGGAUGACCGCGGCUUCCCAUAGCUCCGUCUUGCGGACAGCUGGGAGGACGAGGAAAGUCCGGACUCCAUGAAGCGACGGUGCCGGAUAACGUCCGGCGGGGGUAACCCCAGGGAAAGCGCAACAGAGAACAGACCGCCAUGGUCUCGGCCAUGGUAAGGGUGAAACGGUGGGGUAAGAGCCCACCGCGGGACUGGCAACAGGACCGGCUUGGCAAGCCCCACCGGGAGCAACGCCGAAUAGGGAUCGCGCGCCGCCUUGGCGGCAGGGGAGCUUCGCCCCGAGCGGUCCGGGUUGGCGGCUUGAGACGGCGCGUGAGCGUGCGUCCAGAGGAAUGGUCAUCCAGGGGGCAACCCCGGACAGAAUCCGGCUUACAGGCCAUCCGCGCAG